rnacentral:miRNA from 1 species
AUAUAUACAUAUACACACAUAUGUAUAUAUAUAUGUGUGUGUGUGUGUGUAUAU